GUGGAUUAGAUACCCUGGUAGUCCACGCCCUAAACGGUGCACACUAGGUCUUGGCGGAUUCGACCCCUCCAGGGCCCAAGCUAACGCGUUAAGUGUGCCGCCUGAGGACUACGGCCGCAAGGCUAAAACUCAAAGGAAUUGACGGGGGCCCGCACAAGCGGUGGAGCAUGUGGCUCAAUUCGAUGCAACGCGAAGAACCUUACCUGGCCUUGACAUGCACUAGACCGGCGCUGAAAGGCGCCCUCCCUUCGGGGCUGGUGCACAGGUGCUGCAUGGUCGUCGUCAGCU
rnacentral:rRNA from 1 species